GCACGACACCUUUCAUCUACCUUCAUUUCCAUCUCAGCUGUCUCUUCACUUCUUUUAUCCUCAAGCUGCGACAGUACACGAAGCAUGGAUCAAACGUAUCUGGUGAUCCCUCAGACAGGAGAGCCCUUUUAGCUUCAGUUUGACUGCAGGGAUGAGUUCAUUUAAACCCAAAUUAAAUUAUUUAUGAAGCGUUUCCCAGCUUAUAACCAUUAGUUUUACUGGUGGAAUUUGAGGACUAUAUUGGUGGCCAUAUUGGCAUAAACUGACUGCAGUCAUUUUAAAUACUCUCACAGGAUUUCCUGACAACAGUGACUUGGUACCAGCCCUGAUAACAUCUGUCUGCUGGUUUGCUCAUUGCAAACAAAAGCUGCGAAAUUUAGAAAUUCUCCAAACAAACUUUAAAUCCAGCAGUUGUUCUGACACAGUUGCACACACACACACACGCACACACUAAACAGACAACCUCAGGAAAAAUCCAUAACUCAUCAUAAAAACGCCAAACUAACAAAAGUGAAUAGCAGCAUGGGGGUUUAUGGAGUUGAGGCGUUUUUAUCAGUAUAAUUAAUGAAUUACAUCUGGUGCUGUCAGAUUGCAAUCUGUUGUGGGAGAGAUUGUUUCUGCCACAGUGGAAUAGAGCCCAAUCAGCCUGCUUAAUUGGUACAUUCGCUCUGUCACCACUUGCUCUCAUCCUUGAUUAGACACACACUCACUGGCCAAGUAAACCACUGGCCUGGUCAGCACUAGCAGGGCUGCUCUCUGAUUAAGAUCUCAAGCUGUGUUUGUGUGUGUGUACAUGUGUGAGGUUGAGGGUGAUGGAAGUGUGAAAGUGUGUCUGUGUGUGUGUUUGCAAGGCAAUGAUCAAGUCACAUCAUUCUCUUCAAAUCCCAAAGUCACCCAUCAUGAAAAGCAGCAUGUGAUUUACAUACAAAUACACACAGGGCUAUAAGUGUGUUUGCAUAUAUACACAGACUUGUGCUCACUUAUUCACACAUGUAGAAACUUGUGCACAUAGCAAUGCAGUUUUUCUGCAAAAGGCUUUAAGGUGCAAUAUGCAAGAUAAUGUAACAGUAAUAUAGCAGGAAACAGCUAUCUGCUACUGGUGCAGUGGAAGAGACAAUGAAGUCACACUGCUUCUGUAUGUUGUUUAUCGAGCUCCAGUAUGUUUUUGUUUCUGUACAUGCACAUUACUGUCUGUUAGUGCAUGUGAGUUUCUCCCUUUGAGACUGUUCUGUGUGCUUGUAAAUAGAUCAAAAGUGACUUCCCACACCGAGACACUACCGUCUACAGAAUGUCCAAAUAUAUCCAAAAAAUAAUGAUGUAGACUACCGUUCAAAAAUUUAGGGUCACUCAGGCAAUUUCGUGUUUCCAUGAAAACUCCCACUUUUAUUCAUGUGCUAACAUAAUUGCACAAGGGUUUUCUAAUCAUCAGUUAGCCUUUCAGCACCAUUAGCUAACACAAUGUAGCAUUAGAACACAGGAGUGAUGGUUGCUGGAAAUGUUCCUCUGUAUCCCUAUGGAGAUAUUCCAUUAAAAAUCAGCCGUUUCCACCUAGAAUAGUCAUUUACCACAUUAACAGUGUCUAGACUGUAUUUCUGAUUAAUUUAAUGUUAUCUUCAUAGAAAAAAGACAUUUCUAAAGCCGCGAUUCCACAAGCACCUACUCGGCGCGGUGUGGCUCUGCUUGUCUUUGUUUGCGAGCGUUUCCAUAUGGAUUAGUGCACGGUCUCAGGCACGAUUUUCCGUACCUUCUUGGCUGAGGUUCCAAGCGAGAUGAAGUGAGCCGAGAUGUGACGUCUACAUAGUCCAGGCCACUGAUUGGACAGGAGUGCAGGCCACUGAUUGGACCAGGGAGUGACGACACACGAGAGCGACUCCAGCACGAAAACAAAACCGGCAUUUAAAAAAAACUAAACAGCGACGGUGUGCAUUGCUGUUCACGGAACUCUCUGUUCUUCAUAAUUUUAAUAUGACAGCCAGACCUGUACCGUGGGUGAAUGAAGAGGUCGAGACUUUUCUGUCUUUGGUGGCGGACCAAAGAAUACAGAGGGAGCUGGACGGAGAAAGUUUAUCAGGAGGUCUCAGAGCGGAUGGCCACCCACGUAUACAGUAGACUGUAUAUAAAGAGGACAGAAGCAGUGUAGGGAGAAGCUGAAAAAGCUCAAAAGUAACUAUCGGUCCACCAAGGACCACAGCGGCCGGCGUGGGUCAACCAGGAGGUGUUGGAAGAGGUUUAAUAGAAGCUAUUUACUGGCACUGCACCGGCGAGCAACAAGAGGGAGACUCAGCUGCUGCAUUAUUGGAGACGUUCGAGGACGGUGAGUGUUUUGUGACUUCAGGAAACUUUUACAUCAUCUAUCCCAUUGGUGGCGAGGUUCUUUUAAGCAAACAAGUAUAUUUAGAAAGUAACGUUGUUGUCUCCUGUAGCAGACGAUAAGCUAGCUAGUUAGCCAUCAGCGCUAGCUAGUUAGCCAUCGGCGCUAGCUAGUAAGCCAUCAGCGUUAGCUCCGUGCUUGUAUUUCGUGCUGCUGUUUCUGACGUUUAGCUCUCAGAAGUUAAUACACCAGUCAGCAUGACGAACUAAGCUAGGUUUAUUUUUUUUCACAAGUUACAAUGUCGUGUUUUUCGUGUGCUUAGGGUGAGUGUUUAUUUCUGUUCAAGAAUCCUUUCCACGUACAAAGCCUACUCCACCUCCGUCGCGGAGCCCCCAGCUCCCCUGCCUCCUCUCCACUACCAGCAGCGGCUCCUCUCCAGCACCAGCUUCGACACCAGGACCAACUCGGACACCGACCCUGUCAACAGCAACCUCCAGCACGUAACAGCAACGUCUUAUCACUGGCAAGAGGAAAAGGGGCAACAGAAAAUUGGACCUUCCAAGCGUACUUGUGGAGAUGCAGGCUGAGGAGGAGUGGAACCGUGCCCAGCAUGAUGAGAACAUUUGGUUGCUCCUCAGCGAGGCAAGAGAGAAUGAAGCGGCCUUGCAGUGGGAGGAGAUGGCCCAGAAUGCUGCCUUCAACCAGUCGUUCCUGGGUGUACUGGGGCAGCUGGUGCAGGUAGUGGGCAGCCAGCGAGUCCACCUCCCAGAGACUUGAGAUUUAGUUGUAUAUAGUUUUACUUUUAGCCCUCCACUGUAGGAGAGGCCCACCACAGUUUGUACUUUGCACAUUGUAAAUAGUUUUGAUUUUGCUGCUGACUAAUAAACUAUUUUGUGACUUA